GUGUAUCGGAAAGGAGGAAUAUCGAAAACGUAGCUAUGUCAUCUUUAACCGCACAAAGAGCAGUAUUUUACACAUGUGUUAAACAGUGUCAGAAAUGAGGCGUUCACUAUGACUAAUAAAGGAAGCACUUUAUCAAAUAUGUAUAUGUACAACGUAAUGGAAGGGUGUAUCGGAAA